rnacentral:lncRNA from 1 species
CUCUCCCUCCCCCGGCCCUCCUGCUGAUGAGAGACAGGAGCGAUGGAUGGUCUGAGUUAGCGGGGUCCCGGCACCACCCAGCGCAAAGGCACUGCACUCACGCACGCCAUGCACAUGCUGGCUCACCUCCUCCAUCCCAUGCCUCCCCUGUCUCCAGCAUUCCCUCUGGAAUACAUCAGCACUGUUGCCUUUGAGGCUGGCCUGCUUGAAUGCACACCUGAGCUCCGGAUUCACAGCAAUUUCUUGGAUGAUUCACAGUGGAGGAAGCCAGAUGCCAUGUCAUGAGGGUGCUCAAGCAACUUUUUGGAGAUGUAUGUAUGGAGAGAAACUGAGGCCUCCUGCCAACAGCCAGCACUAACUUGGCAAGCAUGUUUGAGAGCCACCUGGGAAGUGGAGCCUUCAGCCCCAGUUAAGCCUUCAGAUGAGACUGCAGUCCUGGCCACCAUCUGGACUGCAACUUCACAAGAGCUCCUAAGCCAGAGCCAUGCAGAUGGAUUCUUGGCCCCCAGAAAUUGUGCCACUACAUUUUGGGAAAUUUAUUAUGCAGCCAUAGAUUACCAAUACACUCACUAUUUCUUUUUUCUGAUGCCAUACUAUAUUUUUGUUUGCUGAUUUUUUUCCUCCGUCUCUCCCACUAGGCAUUAAGUUCCAUAAGGGCAGUGACUGUGUCUGCGUGGUUCAUCCAUGUGUCCCCACAGCCUGGCAUAUGGAGCUCACUAAUAACUCAGGCAUGGGUAAAUGGAGAUCACUCAUUUUAGGCUCAGCCUAAUAAAUCUCCCUCCUAUGGCUCUCUCUAGAGAGAGCAGUAAAAUUUGCCCAACUUCUUUUUCUGUCUUUCUGUAUUUGAUUUCUUACACUUUCUGUGGCUUUCUGCUUAGUUUUAUUCCUGGCUGCCUGACAGAGGGUGGGUUUAUGCAGAUAAAGAGGCACCUGUGGGAGGAAGGGCUCUGUGUGCUUUCUCCUUUAAUAAGCUGUGUCUAAAAAAAAAAAAAAAAAAAAAAUAGCUCCCCUUUGCAAAAGGGACGAAAAUAGCCAGGAUUUUCCAGGAUUUUAAUGGAGAUGGGAGGCGGGUACUGGGAGGCUGAAGACUGAGGCAGCCCUCUUCUCUCUGAGCAGCCCCAGUCUGAUCACUGAGCAACCCCGGUCUGAUCACUUACCCACACACCCACACUUGAAUUAUACUCACUUAUUCAUUUAUCCAUCUUUCCACCAAGUCAAUUGUUAAUUAAUUCCCUAUUUAUUAUUUGCUUAUCUAUUUAUACAUUCAUUAUCUAUCCUAUAUUUUUUACUUAUGAAUUAAUCCAUUUAUCCAUCCAUGCACUCAGCUAUUCAUCCAUCCAUCCACUCUCCAUCUAUCCACCCAUCUAUACAUUUAUCCAUCACUGAUCCAUUCACCCACCAUCCACCCAUCUUUCCAUUCAUCCACCCAUUCUUUCAUGCAUCCAUCUAUCCAUCCACCAACCCAUCCAUCUACCCAUCUAUCCACAUAUCCAUCAUCCAUCCAUUCACCCAUUCAUCCACCAUCCAUUUGUCAUCCAUCUAUCUAUCCAUCCAUCCAUGCAUCCAUCCAUCCAUCCACUCAUCCAUUUAUCCACUCAUCUAUCCACUUAUCCAUCAUCCAUUCAUUCACCCAUUUAUCCACCUAUCCUUCCAUCCACCCAUCUAUCCACUUAUCCAUCAUCCAUUCACCCAUCCUGCAUUCAUCCAUUAUCCAUUGAUAUACUUUUCAUUUAAUCCGAACACCCUAAUGCCUUUAUGUUAAUUAAUGAAUUUAUUCACUUAACCAUGUGUCUAUUUAUUAAGUAUUUUAAUUUAUUAAUUUACUAAGCUUUCAGUUCUAUUCAGACCCCCGAGUAUUUACAAGUGCUACUACUUUGUGCCAAGUGCUAUGUUAGGCUCUGGAAUUAAGAGGUGAAGGAGACAGACCUGGUUCCUACCUGUGUGCGGUUCACCCCACUGAUUUCUGGAAUUCAGGUGAGGAGCUGUUCAUGGGAGAUCCUGAAGUCAGCACAAAAUUUCUGCUCUCUAG